GCCGAGCAUAGCUCAGUGGAUUUAGAGCACUUUGGUCUUGGCAACCUGGGGUCGUGAGUUCAAUCCUCACUGGUGACU